rnacentral:rRNA from 1 species
GACAGAGGGUGCAAACGUUGUUCGGAAUUACUGGGCGUAAAGCGCGUGUAGGCUGCUGCGAAAGUCAGGUGUGAAAGCCCCGGGCUCAACCUGGGAAGUGCACUUGAAACCUCGCAGCUCGAUUGCCGGAGAGGGUAGCGGAAUUCUCGGUGUAGAGGUGAAAUUCGUAGAUAUCGAGAGGAACACCGGUGGCGAAGGCGGCUACCUGGACGGCUAUUGACGCUGAGACGCGAAAGCGUGGGGAGCAAACAGG